rnacentral:pre_miRNA from 14 species
CCAACCUGUGAUACUCAAACUGGGGGCUCUUUUGGGUUUUCUUUGGAAGAAAAGUGCCGCCAGGUUUUGAGUGUUACCGAUUGA